GACGAACGCUGGCGGCGUGCUUAAUACAUGCAAGUAGAACGCACAGUUUAUACCGUAGCUUGCUACACCAUAGACUGUGAGUUGCGAACGGGUGAGUAACGCGUAGGUAACCUGCCUGGUAGCGGGGGAUAACUAUUGGAAACGAUAGCUAAUACCGCAUAAUAUUAAUUAUUGCAUGAUAAUUAAUUGAAAGGUGCAAUUGCACCACUACCAGAUGGACCUGCGUUGUAUUAGCUAGUAGGUGAGGUAACGGCUCACAUAGGCGAGGAUACAUAGCCGACCGGAGUGGAUGGGCAGCCACACUGAGACUGUGACACGGCCCAGACUGCUACGGGAGGCGGCAGGAGGGAAUCGUGGGCAAUGGGCGAAGGUCUGACCGAGCAACGCCGCGGGAGUGAAGAGGGUUGUCGGAUCGGAAAGCUCGGUUGUAAGGGAAGAACGGGUGUGAGAGUGGAAAGUUCACAGUGUGACGGUAACUUAUCAGAAAGCAACGGCUAACUACGUG
rnacentral:rRNA from 1 species